CCUACGGGAGGCAGCAGUGGGGAAUAUUGCACAAUGGGCGCAAGCCUGAUGCAGCCAUGCCGCGUGUGUGAAGAAGGCCUUCGGGUUGUAAAGCACUUUCAGCGGGGAGGAAGGCGUUAAGGUUAAUAACCUUGGCGAUUGACGUUACCCGCAGAAGAAGCACCGGCUAACUCCGUGCCAGCAGCCGCGGUAAUACGGAGGGUGCAAGCGUUAAUCGGAAUUACUGGGCGUAAAGCGCACGCAGGCGGUCUGUCAAGUCGGAUGUGAAAUCCCCGGGCUCAACCUGGGAACUGCAUUCGAAACUGGCAGGCUAGAGUCUUGUAGAGGGGGGUAGAAUGCCAGGUGUAGCGGCGAAAUGCGUAGAGGUCUGGAGGAAUACCGGUGGCGAAGGCGGCCCCCUGGACAAAGACUGACGCUCAGGUGCGAAAGCGUGGGGAGCAAACAGGAUUAGAUACCCUUGUAGUC
rnacentral:rRNA from 1 species